rnacentral:rRNA from 1 species
ACGAACGCUGGCGGCGUGCCUAACACAUGCAAGUCGAGCGGAGAUACCAAGGAGCAAUCCAAGGUGUCUUAGCGGCGGACGGGUGAGUAACACGUGGGUAACCUACCCCAAGGAGGGGGAUAACAGGUCGAAAGGCCUGCUAAUACCGCAUAAAGCUUAUGUAUCGCAUGAUACAUAAGCCAAAGGAGGAAUCCGCCUUGGGAUGGGCCCGCGGCCCAUUAGCUAGUUGGUGAGGUAACGGCUCACCAAGGCGACGAUGGGUAGCCGGCCUGAGAGGGUGGUCGGCCACACUGGGACUGAAACACGGCCCACACUCCUACGGGAGGCAGCAGUGGGGAAUAUUGCGCAAUGGGGGAAACCCUGACGCAGCGACGCCGCGUGAGCGAAGAAGGCCUUCGGGUUGUAAAGCUCUGUCUUCCCUGACGAAGAAAGUGACGGUAAGGGAGGAGGAAGCCACGGCUAACUACGUGCCAGCAGCCUCGGUAAUACGUAGGUGGCGAGCGUUGUCCGGAAUUACUGGGCGUAAAGGGUGCGUAGGCGGCUCCUUAAGUGAGGUGUGAAAUCCCUGGGCUCAACCCAGGAACUGCACUUCAAACUGGGGAGCUAGAGUGCAGGAGAGGAAAGCGGAAUUCCCGGUGUAGCGGUGAAAUGCGUAGAGAUCGGGAGGAACACCAGUGGCGAAGGCGGCUUUCUGGACUGUAACUGACGCUGAGGCACGAAAGCGUGGGGAGCAAACAGGAUUAGAUACCCUGGUAGUCCACGCUGUAAACGAUGAGUGCUAGGUGUGGGAGGAGUAGCCUUCCGUGCGCGC